CCGCUUCCGGCCCCGGUGAUUCCUGGGUGUUGCGGUCUCCGUGCAGGGCGAGGAGCCGCUUGGGGCUGUCAUCCCCACAGGGCUCAAAGCUGUUCCCGUGUCAUUCAGAGUGCGACCCGGAGACAGAAAGCACCCCGAGUUCUUUCCACUGAGCAAAUGCAAAGAAGAGUCAGGGGUUCCUAGUGACCCAAAGCGGCUUCUACCCCCCAGGGCUGGAAGAACAAAGGAAGCCGCGGACUGAAAAUUUAGAAGGUGGGGGGAGGCUACUGGUGGGCUCUGGGCCUCUGAGGGGCUGGCCAGCUUAGACAUCACCUCCCAAGAGAGGUGGUCCUGAUCCUGGUACCCCACCCCCCAGCAGAGCACCUCACCUUUCCCUUCAGAACACUGUCCAUAGAUAGCCAUGCGGUGCUUGCAUGUCCUGGUGUUUGACCCCAGUCUCUCCACCGGACCCCCCAACGCAGUGAUUAGGCACAUUGUACACCAUUGGGUUAAGUGUCCCCCACUUUGUAGACAGAAUCAUUUCUCAGAGACACUGCACUGGGAGUUCCUGCGCUGGCUGGACUGGGACUCUGCCAUGUAGCUAAACUCUCCUUGAGGGGCUCCUGGGUGGCUCAGUCAGUUGGGCAUCUGCCUUCUGCUCAGGUCAUGAUCCCAGGGUCCUGGGAUCAAGCCCCAUGUCGGGCUCCCUCUCAGCAGGGAGCCUGCUUUUCCUUCUCCCUCUGCACCUCCCCCCACUCAUGCUCUCUCUCCCUUGAAUAAAUAAAAUUGUAAAAAACAAAACAAAACACCCUCUCCUUGAUCUUGAACCUGCUCUUUUCCCAGGACUUUGCUGGAAUAGAGUGAUCCAGGGGGGCGAAGAUUGGCUCCUGGGCAUAGGAGGUGGUGCCCCCUCCUGGGGCUGUGCAGGUGACGGUCAGCCCCCCGGAGAAGGAGCUCAGCUUUAAGCACUCAGACCCUGAGCCCUCUUGUCUGACCUUAGCACUGAGCCCUGCCUUGAACAUGGCCUGGCACCUACUAGGGGCUCAGUAAAUAUGUGUUGAGUGAAUGAAUGGGACCUCACCUCUGUUUCCCAGGACACCAGUCCGCUUGGAGUAAUUAAUUCUCUAGGUCAUCUUUUAGCUGAGAAGGAUGAUACUGACUUAAAAUGUCCCUGCCACGGUACAUUUUAUGUUAUAUGUUUUUACAAUUUAAAAAUGUUUUCACGGAACAACCCUUCCCCCCCUCCCAGGCAGGUAAUAAGGCAUGUGGUGCAGGGGAAGUACAGCUGCUUUGGGGCCGCACUACCUGAGUUUGCACUGAAGUGAUUCCUCCUCCAGGCUGCGUGGGCUUGGGCAAGUCCGAUGACCUCUCUGAACCACCAUUUCCUCACCUGUAAAAUACACCUCAAGUAACCUUAAAGCCCAGCACCCUACAUGGCACAUCGAGGCACUUUAUACAUAUUUGUUUCCUCUUUUUUUUUUUUUUUUAAGAUUUUAUUUAUUUGAGAGAGAGAGAGCCAGAGAGAGCAAGAGCGGGAGGAGGGGCAGAGGGAGGGGAGAAAGAGACUCCCUGCUGAGUGGGGAGCCUGACUCUGAAUUUGAUCCAAGACCUGCAGAGCACGGCCUGAGCUUAAUCUCUUAAAAUGACUCUUAAUCUCUUAAAUGACUAAGCCACCAGGCACCCCUCCCACCCCGAGAGUUUGUUUCCUCUUGUUGUGAGCGCCAAUCACAGCUCAAACAGAGAACAACCCUCUGACUCCCUGAGAGUGGGUCACUGGCCCAGCGCAGGGCUGGAUCAAAGCCAAGGCUGAGAGGCCCGGUUCAUGGGAGAAGGGGGCUGCCUUGGGGGGAACUCCCUUGCUCUAUGAAGCAAAGAGGACACAUGGAUCAGAACCCUUUUCAAACUUGCUGAAGCAAAAUGGGGAAUUUAUCGUCUUACCUAUUGGGAACUACCUUCAGGUCAAGCUGGAUCCAGGGACUCAAAAGACCCUCAUCAGGGUUGUCUUCCUCAUCAACCCAGUGACUGGGCAGUAGGGCGUAGUGACUCACAGGCCCCUGAAGGCAGGGCAGUGUUGGUGACUAUGAUUGAUAGCCCCACUGAAUCAGCUCCCAGGGGAGAAGCCUUGACGUUACCAGAAGAAUGAAUACAUGUAAGAUGAGCAGUAAACCUUACUAUCUGCCACACA